rnacentral:rRNA from 1 species
ACCUUCGGGCCUCUUGCCAUCGGAUGUGCCCAGAUGGGAUUAGCUAGUAGGUGGGGUAAAGGCUCACCUAGGCGACGAUCCCUAGCUGGUCUGAGAGGAUGACCAGCCACACUGGAACUGAGACACGGUCCAGACUCCUACGGGAGGCAGCAGUGGGGAAUAUUGCACAAUGGGCGCAAGCCUGAUGCAGCCAUGCCGCGUGUAUGAAGAAGGCCUUCGGGUUGUAAAGUACUUUCAGCGGGGAGGAAGGGAGUAAAGUUAAUACCUUUGCUCAUUGACGUUACCCGCAGAAGAAGCACCGGCUAACUCCGUGCCAGCAGCCGCGGUAAUACGGAGGGUGCAAGCGUUAAUCGGAAUUACUGGGCGUAAAGCGCACGCAGGCGGUUUGUUAAGUCAGAUGUGAAAUCCCCGGGCUCAACCUGGGAACUGCAUCUGAUACUGGCAAGCU